rnacentral:rRNA from 1 species
UGCCAGACUCCUACGGGAGGCAGCAGUGGGGAAUAUUGCACAAUGGGGGAAACCCUGAUGCAGCAACGCCGCGUGAGUGAAGAAGUAUUUCGGUAUGUAAAGCUCUAUCAGCAGGGAAGAAAAUGACGGUACCUGAGUAAGAAGCCCCGGCUAACUACGUGCCAGCAGCCGCGGUAAUACGUAGGGGGCAAGCGUUAUCCGGAUUUACUGGGUGUAAAGGGAGCGUAGACGGCGAUACAAGUCUGAAGUGAAAGCCCGGGGCUCAACCCCGGGACUGCUUUGGAAACUGUGUUGCUGGAGUGCUGGAGAGGCAAGCGGAAUUCCUAGUGUAGCGGUGAAAUGCGUAGAUAUUAGGAAGAACACCAGUGGCGAAGGCGGCUUGCUGGACAGUAACUGACGUUGAGGCUCGAAAGCGUGGGGAGCAAACAGGAUUAGAUACCCCGGUAG